rnacentral:RNase_P_RNA from 1 species
CGGGUCGGUGAGACAAUCGCGCCACGCGCCACGCGUGUCGAGGAACGUCCGGGCUCCGCAGGGAAGAACGGUGGGUAACGCCCACCCGGGGCAACCCGCGAGCAAGUGCAACAGAGAGUAGACCGCCAGCAUGCUGGUAAGGGUGAAAGGGUGGAGUAAGAGACCACCAGCGGUUGUGGCGACACAGCCGGCUAGGUAAACCUCGUUCGGAGCAAGACCAAGCAGAGUGUGAUGAGGUGUCCCGCCGAGCACUCGGGUAGGUUGCUAGAGCGUGCUGGUAACAGCGCGUCGAGAUAGAUGAUUGUCACGGCGAAAGCCGCACAGAACCCGGCGUAUGAUCCGACCCGUUCG